rnacentral:rRNA from 1 species
GUCCACGCCCUAAACGAUGCGAACUAGGUGUUGGGGAAGGAGACUUUCUUAGUACCGCAGCUAACGCGUGAAGUUCGCCGCCUGGGGAGUACGGUCGCAAGAUUAAAACUCAAAGGAAUUGACGGGGACCCCGCACAAGCGGUGGAUGAUGUGGAUUAAUUCGAUGCAACGCGAAAACCUUACCUACCCUUGACAUGUCAGGAAGUCUGCUGAGAGGUGGAUGUGCCCGAAAGGGAACCUGAACACAGGUGCUGCAUGGCUGUCGU